ACUUAAGUAGUUUAAUUAGAAUAAUAAUUUGUGGUAUUAUUGGUAUUAGUUUUAAUCUUGAGUC
rnacentral:tRNA from 1 species